rnacentral:rRNA from 1 species
AUUGAACGCUGGCGGCAGGCCUAACACAUGCAAGUCGAGCGGUAGAGAGAAGCUUGCUUCUCUUGAGAGCGGCGGACGGGUGAGUAAUGCCUAGGAAUCUGCCUGGUAGUGGGGGAUAACGUUCGGAAACGGACGCUAAUACCGCAUACGUCCUACGGGAGAAAGCAGGGGACCUUCGGGCCUUGCGCUAUCAGAUGAGCCUAGGUCGGAUUAGCUAGUUGGUGGGGUAAUGGCUCACCAAGGCGACGAUCCGUAACUGGUCUGAGAGGAUGAUCAGUCACACUGGAACUGAGACACGGUCCAGACUCCUACGGGAGGCAGCAGUGGGGAAUAUUGGACAAUGGGCGAAAGCCUGAUCCAGCCAUGCCGCGUGUGUGAAGAGGGUCUUCGGAUUGUAAAGCACUUUAAGUUGGGAGGAAGGGCAGUAAAUUAAUACUUUGCUGUUUUGACGUUACCGACAGAAUAAGCACCGGCUAACUCUGUG